CAUCCCCCCGGGGAGUUGUAAUUUGAAGAUUGCGUCUUGGAGGCGACCGUGUCUAUGUUCCUUGGAACAGGACGUCACAGAGGGUGAGAAUCCCGUGCGGCACGGCCCCCGGCUCCUUAUAAGGCGCUCUCGACGAGUCGAGUUGUUUGGGAAUGCAGCUCAAAGUGGGUGGUAAAUUCCAUCUAAAGCUAAAUACAGGCGAGAGACCGAUAGCGAACAAGUACAGUGAUGGAAAGAUGAAAAGCACUUUGAAAAGAGAGUGAAACAGCACGUGAAAUUGUUGAAAGGGAAGGGCAUGCCGUCAGAUUGUCAGUGUGGGUAAGAAGCGGGGUACAAAGACUGUGGAACGUGGCCCUCGGGUGUUAUAGCCGCAGUUCAUGCCCCGUCUCUUUCCGAGGCCUGCUGAGGAC
rnacentral:rRNA from 1 species